rnacentral:rRNA from 1 species
CCUACGGGGGGCAGCAGUGAGGAAUAUUGGUCAAUGGUCGCGAGACUGAACCAGCCAAGUAGCGUGAGGGAUGACGGCACAGUGUAUUGUAAACUUCUUUUGUCAGGGAAUAAAGUGUAGUAUGUGUACUCCUUUGCGUGUACCUUAUGAAUAAGGAUCGGCUAACUCCGUGCCAGCAGCCGCGGUAAUACGGAGGAUCCGAGCGUUAUCCGGAUUUAUUGGGUUUAAAGGGAGCGUAGGCGGGUUGUUAAGUCAGGCGUGAAAGUUUGGGGCUCAACCGUAGCAUUGCGGUUGAUACUGGCAGCCUCGAGUACGGGAGAGGUAGGCGGAAUGCGCGGUGUAGCGGUGAAAUGCAUAGAUAUCACGAAGAACUCCGAUUGCGAAGGCAGCAUGCUGGACCGAAACUGACGCUGAGGCACGAAAGCGUGGGUAUCAAACAGGAUUAGAUACCCGAGUAGUC